AGACUGUAACUGCCAGAGCAGCGC
rnacentral:piRNA from 1 species